CACACCGCCCGUCACACCACGAGAGUUUGUAACACCCGAAGCCGGUGGAGUAACCUUUUAGGAGCUAGCCGUCGAAGGUGGGACAAAUGAUUGGGGUGAAGUCGUAACAAGGUAGCCGUAUCGGAAGGUGCGGCUGGAUCACCUCCUUU
rnacentral:rRNA from 1 species